CCUUCCCUGGUUUCCUGGCUGACGGUUUUUUUAUUUUAAUGCCACCGUCUGUGUGAGCUGAUCCUAUGGCGGUUUUGAUUUUUCUUUUGUAUUUUCUGAACAACUCCCUGUCUCUUGCUCUUGAAAACGUGAUUUGCGAAAUCUUUUUAGAAGACGGUGUGUUGCUUUGGAGCAAAAAGUCUCUGAUCAUAGACGCCCCUUUGAUUUUUC
rnacentral:lncRNA from 1 species